AGGGUUCGAUUCUGGCUCAGGAUGAACGCUGGCGGCGUGCUUAACACAUGCAAGUCGAACGGGAUCCAGGCAGCUUGCUGCCUGGUGAGAGUGGCGAACGGGUGAGUAAUGCGUGACCGACCUGCCCCAUACACCGGAAUAGCUCCUGGAAACGGGUGGUAAUGCCGGAUGCUCCGACUCCUUCGCAUGGGGUGUCGGGAAAGAUUUCAUCGGUAUGGGAUGGGGUCGCGUCCUAGUCAGGUAGUGCGGCGGGUAACGGCCCACCGAGCCUACGACGGGUAGCCGGCCUGAGAGGGCGACCGGCCACAUUGGGACUGAGAUACGGCCCAGACUCCUACGGGAGGCAGCAGUGGGGAAUAUUGCACAAUGGGCGCAAGCCUGAUGCAGCGACGCCGCGUGCGGGAUGACGGCCUUCGGGUUGUAAACCGCUUUUGAUCGGGAGCAAGCCUUCGGGUGAGUGUACCUUUCGAAUAAGCACCGGCUAACUACGUGCCAGCAGCCGCGGUAAUACGUAGGGUGCAAGCGUUAUCCGGAAUUAUUGGGCGUAAAGGGCUCGUAGGCGGUUCGUCGCGUCCGGUGUGAAAGUCCAUCGCUUAACGGUGGAUCUGCGCCGGGUACGGGCGGGCUGGAGUGCGGUAGGGGAGACUGGAAUUCCCGGUGUAACGGUGGAAUGUGUAGAUAUCGGGAAGAACACCAAUGGCGAAGGCAGGUCUCUGGGCCGUUACUGACGCUGAGGAGCGAAAGCGUGGGGAGCGAACAGGAUUAGAUACCCUGGUAGUCCACGCCGUAAACGGUGGAUGCUGGAUGUGGGGCCCGUUCCACGGGUUCCGUGUCGGAGCUAACGCGUUAAGCAUCCCGCCUGGGGAGUACGGCCGCAAGGCUAAAACUCAAAGAAAUUGACGGGGGCCCGCACAAGCGGCGGAGCAUGCGGAUUAAUUCGAUGCAACGCGAAGAACCUUACCUGGGCUUGACAUGUUCCCGACAGCCGUAGAGAUACGGUCUCCCUUCGGGGCGGGUUCACAGGUGGUGCAUGGUCGUCGUCAGCUCGUGUCGUGAGAUGUUGGGUUAAGUCCCGCAACGAGCGCAACCCUCGCCCUGUGUUGCCAGCACGUCAUGGUGGGAACUCACGGGGGACCGCCGGGGUCAACUCGGAGGAAGGUGGGGAUGACGUCAGAUCAUCAUGCCCCUUACGUCCAGGGCUUCACGCAUGCUACAAUGGCCGGUACAACGGGAUGCGACAUGGCGACAUGGAGCGGAUCCCUGAAAACCGGUCUCAGUUCGGAUUGGAGUCUGCAACCCGACUCCAUGAAGGCGGAGUCGCUAGUAAUCGCGGAUCAGCAACGCCGCGGUGAAUGCGUUCCCGGGCCUUGUACACACCGCCCGUCAAGUCAUGAAAGUGGGUAGCACCCGAAGCCGGUGGCCUAACCCCUUGUGGGAUGGAGCCGUCUAAGGUGAGACUCGUGAUUGGGACUAAGUCGUAACAAGGUAGCCGUACCGGAAGGUGCGGCUGGAUCACCU
rnacentral:rRNA from 1 species